UGAAACCAGAGGUGCAUAUUUAAAUGCACAAAUGCAGUCUGGAGAGCAAACCAAGAAGCGGCACGGGAGAGAUCCAUCACCCAGCAGGUGUUGAACACAAACAGCUAAACUGGAACUACUGAGAUGAGUCAGAAAAACAUUAACAGUCAAGGCCGUGGUUCAGGCAUCGAAGGAGGGAAGGGAAAAGGCGGACGUAGUCGAGAGAUAAAGAGCAAGCCAACUGAAGAAAAGAAACAGGAUCUCUUGAAAGAAGGCAAUGCUUCACUUGGCCCUUCAAAAGGCAGCAAAAGACCGUCUACAGACAACUCAAAUGA